rnacentral:rRNA from 1 species
GAUGAACGCUGGCGGCGUGCCUAAUACAUGCAAGUCGAGCGAACGGACGAGAAGCUUGCUUCUCUGAUGUUAGCGGCGGACGGGUGAGUAACACGUGGAUAACCUACCUAUAAGACUGGGAUAACUUCGGGAAACCGGAGCUAAUACCGGAUGAUAUUUUGAACCGCAUGGUUCAAAAGUGAAAGACGGUCUUGCUGUCACUUAUAGAUGGAUCCGCGCUGCAUUAGCUAGUUGGUAAGGUAACGGCUUACCAAGGCAACGAUGCAUAGCCGACCUGAGAGGGUGAUCGGCCACACUGGAACUGAGACACGGUCCAGACUCCUACGGGAGGCAGCAGUAGGGAAUCUUCCGCAAUGGGCGAAAGCCUGACGGAGCAACGCCGCGUGAGUGAUGAAGGUCUUCGGAUCGUAAAACUCUGUUAUUAGGGAAGAACAUAUGUGUAAGUAACUGUGCACAUCUUGACGGUACCUAAUCAGAAAGCCACGGCUAACUACGUGCCAGCAGCCGCGGUAAUACGUAGGUGGCAAGCGUUAUCCGGAAUUAUUGGGCGUAAAGCGCGCGUAGGCGGUUUUUUAAGUCUGAUGUGAAAGCCCACGGCUCAACCGUGGAGGGUCAUUGGAAACUGGAAAACUUGAGUGCAGAAGAGGAAAGUGGAAUUCCAUGUGUAGCGGUGAAAUGCGCAGAGAUAUGGAGGAACACCAGUGGCGAAGGCGACUUUCUGGUCUGUAACUGACGCUGAUGUGCGAAAGCGUGGGGAUCAAACAGGAUUAGAUACCCUGGUAGUCCACGCCGUAAACGAUGAGUGCUAAGUGUUAGGGGGUUUCCGCCCCUUAGUGCUGCAGCUAACGCAUUAAGCACUCCGCCUGGGGAGUACGACCGCAAGGUUGAAACUCAAAGGAAUUGACGGGGACCCGCACAAGCGGUGGAGCAUGUGGUUUAAUUCGAAGCAACGCGAAGAACCUUACCAAAUCUUGACAUCCUUUGACAACUCUAGAGAUAGAGCCUUCCCCUUCGGGGGACAAAGUGACAGGUGGUGCAUGGUUGUCGUCAGCUCGUGUCGUGAGAUGUUGGGUUAAGUCCCGCAACGAGCGCAACCCUUAAGCUUAGUUGCCAUCAUUAAGUUGGGCACUCUAAGUUGACUGCCGGUGACAAACCGGAGGAAGGUGGGGAUGACGUCAAAUCAUCAUGCCCCUUAUGAUUUGGGCUACACACGUGCUACAAUGGACAAUACAAAGGGCAGCGAAACCGUGAGGUCAAGCAAAUCCCAUAAAGUUGUUCUCAGUUCGGAUUGUAGUCUGCAACUCGACUACAUGAAGCUGGAAUCGCUAGUAAUCGUAGAUCAGCAUGCUACGGUGAAUACGUUCCCGGGUCU